rnacentral:rRNA from 1 species
GUCCAGACUCCUACGGGAGGCAGCAGUGGGGAAUAUUGCACAAUGGGGGAAACCCUGAUGCAGCGACGCCGCGUGAGUGAGGAAGUAUUUCGGUAUGUAAAGCUCUAUCAGCAGGGAAGAAAAUGACGGUACCUGACUAAGAAGCCCCGGCUAACUACGUGCCAGCAGCCGCGGUAAUACGUAGGGGGCAAGCGUUAUCCGGAUUUACUGGGUGUAAAGGGAGCGUAGACGGCAUGGCAAGUCAGAUGUGAAAGCCCGGGGCUCAACCCCGGGACUGCAUUUGAAACUGUCAGGCUGGAGUGCAGGAGAGGUAAGUGGAAUUCCUAGUGUAGCGGUGAAAUGCGUAGAUAUUAGGAGGAACACCAGUGGCGAAGGCGGCUUACUGGACUGUAACUGACGUUGAGGCUCGAAAGCGUGGGGAGCAAACAGGAUUAGAUACCCGUGUAU